UGUUUAAAUUCAAGUUUUUUUUUGUUAAAUUUCGUUCAUAGCAGCAUGCGUUAAAAUAUAAUCACAUAUCCGAGUUGUAUUUUCAGUUGAGGAGAAUACAACUCGGAUAUGUGAUUAUAUUUUAACGCAUGCUGCUAUGAACGAAAUUUAACAAAAAAAAACUUGAAUUUAAACA
rnacentral:pre_miRNA from 1 species